GAUGAAGAACGCAGCGAAAUGCGAUACGUAAUGUGAAUUGCAGAAUUCAGUGAAUCAUCGAAUCUUUGAACGCAUAUUGCGCUCUCUGGUAUUCCGGAGAGCAUGCUUGUUUGAGUAUCAGUAAACACCUCAACUUCCAUAUCUUUUUUGAAAUGGGAGUUGGACCUGAGUGAUCCCAACGCUUUUCCUCACCGAAAAGUGGCGGGUUACUUGAAAUGCAGGUGCAGCUGGACUUUUCUCUGAGCUAUAAGCAUAUCUAUUUAGUCUGCCUAAAAAACAGAUUAUUACCUUUGCUGCAGCUAACAUAAAGGAGAUUAGUUCUUGUGCUGACUGAUGCAGGAUUCACAAAGACAGGCUUCGGCCGACUUUGUAAACUCGAUCUCAAAUCAAGUAAGACUACCCGCUGAACUUAAGCAUAUCAAUAAGCGGAGGA
rnacentral:misc_RNA from 1 species